rnacentral:rRNA from 1 species
AGACCCGAAACCCGGUGAUCUAGCCAUGGGCAGGUUGAAGGUUGGGUAACACUAACUGGAGGACCGAACCGACUAAUGUUGAAAAAUUAGCGGAUGACCUGUGGCUGGGGGUGAAAGGCCAAUCAAACCGGGAGAUAGCUGGUUCUCCCCGAAAGCUAUUUAGGUAGCGCCUCGUGAAUUCAUCUCCGGGGGUAGAGCACUGUUUCGGCUAGGGGGCCAUCCCGGCUUACCAACCCGAUGCAAACUGCGAAUACCGGAGAAUGUUAUCACGGGAGACACACGGCGGGUGCUAACGUCCGUCGUGAAGAGGGAAACAACCCAGACCGCCAGCUAAGGUCCCAAAGUCAUGGUUAAGUGGGAAACGAUGUGGGAAGGCCCAGACAGCCAGGAUGUUGGCUUAGAAGCAGCCAUCAUUUAAAGAAAGCGUAAUAGCUCACUGGUCGAGUCGGCCUGCGCGGAAGAUGUAACGGGGCUAAACCAUGCACCGAAGCUGCGGCAGCGACACUGUGUGUUGUUGGGUAGGGGAGCGUUCUGUAAGCCUGUGAAGGUGUGUCGUGAGGCAUGCUGGAGGUAUCAGAAGUGCGAAUGCUGACAUAAGUAACGAUAAAGCGGGUGAAAAGCCCGCUCGCCGGAAGACCAAGGGUUCCUGUCCAACGUUAAUCGGGGCAGGGUGAGUCGACCCCUAAGGCGAGGCCGAAAGGCGUAGUCGAUGGGAAACGGGUUAAUAUUCCCGUACUUGGUGUUACUGCGAAGGGGGGACGGAGAAGGCUAUGUUGGCCGGGCGACGGUUGUCCCGGUUUAAGCGUGUAGGUGUGUGUUCCAGGUAAAUCCGGUUCACUUUAACACUGAGGCGUGACGACGAGGCACUACGGUGCUGAAGCAACAAAUGCCCUGCUUCCAGGAAAAGCCUCUAAGCAUCAGGUAACAUCAAAUCGUACCCCAAACCGACACAGGUGGUCAGGUAGAGAAUACCAAGGCGCUUGAGAGAACUCGGGUGAAGGAACUAGGCAAAAUGGUGCCGUAACUUCGGGAGAAGGCACGCUGACACGUAGGUGAAGUGAUUUACUCAUGGAGCUGAAGUCAGUCGAAGAUACCAGCUGGCUGCAACUGUUUAUUAAAAACACAGCACUGUGCAAACACGAAAGUGGACGUAUACGGUGUGACGCCUGCCCGGUGCCGGAAGGUUAAUUGAUGGGGUCAGCGCAAGCGAAGCUCCUGAUCGAAGCCCCGGUAAACGGCGGCCGUAACUAUAACGGUCCUAAGGUAGCGAAAUUCCUUGUCGGGUAAGUUCCGACCUGCACGAAUGGCGUAAUGAUGGCCAGGCUGUCUCCACCCGAGACUCAGUGAAAUUGAACUCGCUGUGAAGAUGCAGUGUACCCGCGGCAAGACGGAAAGACCCCGUGAACCUUUACUAUAGCUUGACACUGAACAUUGAGCCUUGAUGUGUAGGAUAGGUGGGAGGCUUUGAAGUGUGGACGCCAGUCUGCAUGGAGCCGACCUUGAAAUACCACCCUUUAAUGUUUGAUGUUCUAACGUGGACCCGUUACCCGGGUUGCGGACAGUGUCUGGUGGGUAGUUUGACUGGGGCGGUCUCCUCCUAAAGAGUAACGGAGGAGCACGAAGGUUGGCUAAUCCUGGUCGGACAUCAGGAGGUUAGUGCAAUGGCAUAAGCCAGCUUGACUGCGAGCGUGACGGCGCGAGCAGGUGCGAAAGCAGGUCAUAGUGAUCCGGUGGUUCUGAAUGGAAGGGCCAUCGCUCAACGGAUAAAAGGUACUCCGGGGAUAACAGGCUGAUACCGCCCAAGAGUUCAUAUCGACGGCGGUGUUUGGCACCUCGAUGUCGGCUCAUCACAUCCUGGGGCUGAAGUAGGUCCCAAGGGUAUGGCUGUUCGCCAUUUAAAGUGGUACGCGAGCUGGGUUUAGAACGUCGUGAGACAGUUCGGUCCCUAUCUGCCGUGGGCGCUGGAGA